UUAAACCCUUCUCUCAAAUAUGGUUUGUGGUCGCUGUGGUCAUUUUAUAUCGAUUUAAAAAUCGUUGCAUUGAUAACAAGCCAGCACUGCUGCACAGCCUCUCUGACAAAGCCGACGAGCUGACGAAGCUCUGUUCACCACCACCAUGUUAUCAGUAAACUUUUUUUUUUUUUUUUAAAUGUCAUAUUGAUGAUUCAUGCAUUCAUUUCUAAUAUUAAUUGUACCUGAAUUAUUCAUUUAAAUAUAAAUGUUAACUUAAGUUUUUAGAAAAACUUGGACUUUCUAAAAUCUCGCGAUACUAUCAAGCCUGGAUGACGAAAUGUCCUGGACAUUACCUCGUGUGAAGGAGAAACAACGUUUGUGAGAAGCCAUUUUAUUUUUACCGAUGCAAAACUCUGCUCGACAGAAAAACUUGAAAGAUGGAACAGGAAAGCACUGGGGAUUCUGUUUUAAACUCCCACAUUAGUUCUGUGUUGCCAAACCUCACCACCUGUGUGCUGAAUUCUGUUUUGGACACACUCAAAAACCUGGGUGUAGAAACCCUGGAUGAUUUCAGAUUUGUAAAAGAUGAUGAUCUCCUGAUGAUCCUCAAGCCAAUAGAAGUUCGAAAACUCCUAGCCAGCUUUACAGUCACAUGUGAAACCACGAUUUCCAGCAGUCCGUGCUCAUCCAGAACAGAGACCUCAACAGUCUCCAGCCCAGGGUGCUCUUUUGCCCAGAGUUGUAUUGAGUUGGAUGAAUCACUUUCACCUUUGGAAGCUGACUGGUUCCUUCGGUUUGAGAUACCAUGGGAAAAACUCCCUACUGACCUCCUUUACAAGUUAGAAAGGCAAGAAAAAACAUCGCCAAAGCAACGCAGAGAAAUGAUACGACUCAUUAUUAAUGAAGUCACAGGGGUCUGCAAGAGGCCUUCAAAGAAACAUCUUACAGAUAUAGCAAGAAGAAUUGUGGCAAAAUAUCCUAAAUCUUUGCAGGAUGUUAUCGAAGGCCACAUAGUUGGCAGUGGAUAUGAUUCCUUGGUAAAACAGCUGCAGAGCAGAUAAUGUGAAGCGUACACAGUUUUCUACCCCCAAAAGACAGUUUCAACACAGUAGUGGGAGUGACACGGAAGAAGUUCCUGCAAAGGAACGAGCUUUACCUCAAGACACUUACGGUUGCAUAAACUGGGAUUCCGAGCACCUGCCAAUCACAGAGACACUUGCAAGUCAAAAACAGCAACAAGAAGAAAUGAAAACCAUGUUCAGAGAAAGAAACUGGGAUACACAGAUCAUCACCAAAAAAAUGAUGGCAACGUACUACACUCAGAGAAAAGACAUCAUCCGAGGUAUGGAAACUGAAAAAAUAAGGAGGGAGUGGCCAUUUCUGUUUGAAAUGCCAGGAUUACAAGCACACUUCAGGGCACGUACAGGUGUACAAUUAGAAGGGACAUUUUUUGAGACCAUAAACAAAUCGCACAGAAUUCUGGCCUACAUGGACACUCAACAAAGAGAAACUGCAAGAGUUUUGGCACAGAUCGAAGUUGCAAAGAAGGACACAGUCUAAAUUACCGGAGAUGCCAGGGUUGGUUUUGCUGCUGCUUGCUUACUUUGGUGAAGACGACAAGCAAAUGUUUUUCCAGGUGGAUGACACUUGCUUACCUUCUGAAGUGCCAACAUCUGAUCUGCCUGCAUCACCUUGCAUUAUUUUCUGUGGAGAUUCCCUUCUGACUGCAUCCCGCUUAAUGCUGAGCAUUGAUAAAGUUGUCGUUACAGAACAACAAACUAACUUUGUGGAAGCUUUGCUUAUGAUGUUUGCAUCCUACUACUGCUUGAACAUCCAUUACCCAUCAGAGUUGGGAGCAACACUUGAAUUCCUUCAAAGAUGCAUCUUCAAAAUAAAUCCAGACAAAGGGACGAAGGUCGAACGGAAGCCACAUAAGAGGCAAUAUGCUGUGAAUCAGAGUUCUUUCCCUCAUUUCUGCAAUUGCUGAUUUUGAAUGGAGAGAAUAAAAUGCAAUUGUCAAAAGUUUUCAGUCACCAGCAUGUCAACUGCAGCACAAAGCAGCUUCUCCACAUUUCACUCCUAGGCUGGGACCUGAUCAAAACUUUGAUGACCCACCAAUCGCACUUUACAAAACGGAAUGUUAUCGCUUUUUGGUUUUACGAGUAGGAGAAAUUGGAUAUUUACGAAAAC